GUUUUAAAAAGCCGUAGUCUUGAACGAAAAACACAGUACUCAACGUAAAGUUUUAUAAUAGGUUACAAAUAAUUAAUGAAAGACGUGUGAAUUUAAUUGUUUUUACAAUUUUAAAAAGACGUUGAAAUGUUCGUAUUUUGUGCAAUUGAAAAUUUAAGGACAUGAUUUAUAUUCAUAUAAGAAAUCAGACGAUACCAAGAGAAUAAUUUGACCACUAGUGCAAAACUUACCAGUCGGAAGAACAAAGACGGAAAACAAACAAAAAAUAAACAAAAAAUUACUCAGUAACUUAAAAUUUGUCUCACUCUAACAUUUAUCUUAAAAUAAGUAAAAAUUAUGUCAUUCAACUCCCAGUUUUCAACUUUUUCUACAUGUGCAGAAAAUAAACAGGUGUCUUCUAUUCCGUCCGCAAUUUAUGGGAAAACUAAAUCUAAAUUUAGAACCAUAUGUGAAAUUGAAAGUACACAUGUAAGAUAAAAUAUAACAUGUCAUUUCUUCUUUCACCAAUUCCAAUUUCAAAGAGAUAUAUAGCGAAAUCUGUUUUAUUUUAUUGUGCCUGUGUGCAUCAUUCAAAAUAAGAGAAUGUAAUUUUGAAGUAUCAAG
rnacentral:lncRNA from 1 species